GUCGAACGAACCCUUCGGGGUUAGUGGCGCACGGGUGCGUAACGCGUGGGAAUCUGCCCUUAGGUACGGAAUAACAGUGAGAAAUUACUGCUAAUACCGUAUGAUGUCUUCGGACCAAAGAUUUAUCGCCUAGGGAUGAGCCCGCGUAGGAUUAGCUAGUUGGUGAGGUAAAGGCUCACCAAGGCUACGAUCCUUAGCUGGUCUGAGAGGAUGAUCAGCCACACUGGGACUGAGACACGGCCCAGACUCC
rnacentral:rRNA from 1 species